rnacentral:rRNA from 1 species
AUUGAACGCUGGCGGCAGGCCUAACACAUGCAAGUCGAGCGAGCGGCGGACGGGUGAGUAAUGUCUGGGGAUCUGCCCGAUGGAGGGGGAUAACUACUGGAAACGGUAGCUAAUACCGCAUACUAUCAGAUGAGCCCAGAUGGGAUUAGCUAGUAGGUGGGGUAAUGGCUCACCUAGGCGACGAUCUCUAGCUGGUCUGAGAGGAUGACCAGCCACACUGGGACUGAGACACGGCCCAGACUCCUACGGGAGGCAGCAGUGGGGAAUAUUGCACAAUGGGCGCAAGCCUGAUGCAGCCAUGCCGCGUGUAUGAAGAAGGCCUUCGGGUUGUAAAGUACUUUCAGCGGGGAGGCGUUACCCGCAGAAGAAGCACCGGCUAACUCCGUGCCAGCAGCCGCGGUAAUAC